CCUACGGGAGGCAGCAGUGGGGAAUAUUGCACAAUGGGCGAAAGCCUGAUGCAGCGACGCCGCGUGAGGGAUGACGGCCUUCGGGUUGUAAACCUCUUUCAGCAGGGAAGAAGCGAAAGUGACGGUACCUGCAGAAGAAGCGCCGGCUAACUACGUGCCAGCAGCUGCGGUAAUACGUAGGGCGCAAGCGUUGUCCGGAAUUAUUGGGCGUAAAGAGCUCGUAGGCGGCUUGUCACGUCGGAUGUGAAAGCCCGAGGCUUAACCUCGGGUCUGCAUUCGAUACGGGCUAGCUAGAGUGUGGUAGGGGAGAUCGGAAUUCCUGGUGUAGCGGUGAAAUGCGCAGAUAUCAGGAGGAACACCGGUGGCGAAGGCGGAUCUCUGGGCCAUUACUGACGCUGAGGAGCGAAAGCGUGGGGAGCGAACAGGAUUAGAUACCCUGGUAGUCCACGCCGUAAACGUUGGGAACUAGGUGUUGGCGACAUUCCACGUCGUCGGUGCCGCAGCUACGCAUUAACGUUACCCGUCCGUCGGGAGGUACGGCCGCGACGACGUAAACGUACGAAACGGAAGUUAGACGGCGUGAGACGUGCCGACGGACGACGACGAGGGAGGUAGG
rnacentral:rRNA from 1 species